CAGGAGCUGUGAAGACAUGAGUCACUUGAAACUCAAGUCGGCUGGGGAAGAGGUGGGGUACGUCCGGGGGAAGCGGGAGCUGAGCCGAGAACUGGAGUGAGCAGGACGCAGCAAGAUGAUAAAGCGUGGGAGGAAGAGAAGAAUGUGACAACACAGAAAAGCCCGAGGGCAAGAGAAAGAAGAACAGGGCUGGGAAGCAGAAAUCGGGUUACUGUGGUUGCAACGCAGAGUCCAAAGGGGCAGAGCGGUGAGGGAUGAGAGGGAGAGGUGAGCCGGGGGCAGACAAAUGAUUUCACAAGUCAGGUUACAGGGCUGCAAUUGCUCCUGAGGAUUACAGGCAGCUACUGAACUCUUUAGAACUCUGUUCUAAACAGAGCAGGGACAUGAUCAAUUUGCUCUUCAGACAGAUAACCCCUAUGAGGAAAAUCGGUUUGGUUGGGAACAACACGGGUGGCCAGAAGAGUUGGUGUCUGUAGAGGAGGCAAGAAAUAACAACGGGUGGAGAGAUGUGAGAGACGGAGGAGGUAAAGUGUGUGACUGGUGGCAUAUGGGAGAUGAAGGAGAAGAGGGUUCAGGAUGACUCACAGUCGCUUAGAUGUGGGUGCCACUCAUUGGUUGGGGAGAGAGAAACAGAACAGGGUGAAGACAAUUAAUUGAACUUGAGAUACGUGGGAUCUGAGAUGCCCGGUCAGCUGUCUACAUGAUGUCAAAUGGGCCAGUGGAUAUGUGGAUCUGGGUGUCAGUUGUGAGUCAUCCAUGCUGGAGAUGGUCUCAGUUGAUGCCCUCAUGGGGUGAGAUGAUGCUUAGGGAGAGGGUACUGAGAGAGGACCUCUAGGGUUAUUCCUGGAGAGACAACCAGAGACAAAGAACCCCCGGGGAGACUCAGAAGUCAUGGGAAGAACGGGGAAAGGAAAAUCAACCAGAUAAAUAGAGGCAGGCAUCAUGUUGUGUGAUGCUAAGAAACGAGAAAGCUGAAGCCUGAGAAGCAUCCUUUAAAUGCAGCACCACUAUUCCUGUUUUCGGAAACCAGGAGCAACACAAGAUGGUCACUGGUUGCUGAAUGAAAUAAAUCAUCUGUCUCAUCAGUCCGGACAAGCACGAAGAAAGAGCAGCGUCGUCUGACAUCCACAGUGUGAGAAGCAGCAUCAGAAAGCAGCAUUAAAUGGCAUCUUAGUAUACCUACUUAGUACAUUUAGGACACACUAUGCAGAGAGAGACUGCAGAGGUUCCAAAGCUCUACUUUGGAAGUGACUUACAAACACACAGCAAAACAAUCAAGAUGAAAGAAACCCCAAGAAAUCAGUUCUCUUUUAAAUUGAAAACAAGCAGGAAAUGGCACUGAUGGACCUAAGCUGGGCUUAAUGGUUUACAGUGGAAGAUGGCACCCGCUGACCCUCAGGGUCACCUCCUCACAAUGCCCUCAGGCCGGCUGACGGCAGCCCACCCCUCUGCUCCUUCCAUGACUUGACCUGUAACAGGAAAAGAAACCUGACCCUCCUCCUUAUCCACCAUCCCACCCCACUCAGGAUACUUCUUCCCACCCUCAGCUUCCUGCCCUCCCACCGAAUCUCUGCAUUUUAAUUUCUUCUCUUCCAAAUGAAAGAGUAGGAUCCAACCCACAAGUGCCGUCUGGCUGGCUGCUCUGCGGUACAGCUUUUCCAGGCAGAAGAACAGAACUGGAAAAGCCCCUGGGGUGCAAACUGGCCCGGCAACAUGUUCCGCUCUCGCAUCGAUCAGGUUCAUUGUCUCAAAUGUAACACAGAAUUAGACUCACCAUUUUAAGAUACGUAAGAACAUGUUCGUGGAUUCGGGGUCUGAGCCAAGCUCAUCUCUGAUUCUAAAGCUGACCUUGAAUUCUCUCCUGUUUCGUUGUGGACGUAUGUGUGGAUGCUCAACAUCUCAUGUUGGAUACCACAGAGGUCAGUCAAUUGAGCAGAACGCAUAAACUUUGAAAAUUACUACAAUGAAACACUACAAAAAUUACAAGCCAGAACUACAAGAUUUCCUCAUGUUUUCAUCACCUACCGAUUUGUUUAUUGGUCUUCCAAAGCAUUUGCCCGAUCUGGAGGACCAUAUUGUGAAUAUAAGGGUACCAUUCGUUUACCCGUAAGAGGCAUUAUUUUGAUGUGUUGCCGGGGGCUACUCAUCAACAGUCAUCAGCUGCACAAUAUAAUUUUUAAAAAUC